CGCGCAGGCGGUCCUUUAAGUCUGAUGUGAAAUCUUGCGGCUCAACCGUAAGCGGUCAUUGGAAACUGGGGGACUUGAGUGCAGGAGAGGAAAGCGGAAUUCCAUGUGUAGCGGUGAAAUGCGUAGAGAUAUGGAGGAACACCAGUGGCGAAGGCGGCUUUCUGGCCUGUAACUGACGCUGAGGCGCGAAAGCGUGGGGAGCAAACAGGAUUAGAUACCCUGGUAGUCCACGCCGUAAACGAUGAGUGCUAAGUGUUGGAGGGUUUCCGCCCUUCAGUGCUGCAGCUAACGCAUUAAGCACUCCGCCUGGGGAGUACGGUCGCAAGACUGAA
rnacentral:rRNA from 1 species